GNAUUCCUACGUACCCCAAGGUCGGGGAUAGUCCAGGGAAACCUGGUUUAAUACCUGAUGUGGUUCGUCUCUGACGAAUCAAAGGCUUGCUGCCUUGGGAGCGGGGAAUGUCCUAUCAGGUAGUUGGUGAGGUAAAAGCUCACCAAGCCAAAGACGGGUAGCGGGUGUGAGAGCAUGACCCGCCGUAUCGGCACUGAGACACUGGCCGGACUCCUACGGGAGGCUGCAGUAACGAAUAUUCCGCAAUGCGCGAAAGCGUGACGGAGCAAUGCCGCGUGCAGGAUGAAGCCCCUUGGGGUGUAAACUGCUGUCAGAGUUUAAGAACGUAAUGACUAGACUCAAAGGAAGGGCCGGCUAACUUCGUGCCAGCAGCCGCGGUAAUACGAAGGGCCCGAGCGUUACGCGGAAUUACUGGGCUUAAAGGGUACGUAGGCGGACCUGUAGGCACCAUGUGAAAUCCCUCAGCUCAACUGAGGAACUGCAUGGUGAACCACAGGCCUUGAGGUAAGUAGGGGCUGUCGGAACGAUAGGUGGAGUGGUGAAAUGCGUUGAUAUCUAUCGGAACACCAAAGGAGAAGUCAGGCAGCUGGGCUUAUUCUGACGCUGAGGUACGAAAGCGUGGGGAGCGAACGGGAUUAGAUACCCCGGUAGUCCACGCCGUAAACGAUGUGCACUAGAUCGAGGGGGUUUUAUCGCCGCUCUUGGUCGAAGCGAAAGUA
rnacentral:rRNA from 1 species